CAGAGAAUGGAGGGAUGGACUGAGAGAGAGUCAGAGAGAUUAUUCAGUUAAAUUGAGAGGCACCAGUGGGAGAUUACUCAUGGAAUCUGAGAGCUGAGACUUACAGACACAGGAAAUCAUGCUGAACAGCAUGCAAAACAGAGAAGUGAACUCCCAUGUACUUUGAGACAACAUUGGACUUUAAACUCCAGAACAAACCAUGAAGUUGAAUGAAGGAAAUUGCAUCCAUUCUCCAUGAUGGCUGAAGAAGGUGUGGAGGAGGGAAGCCACAUGUGGAUGGAAGCUUUUUGAAGCAUAAACAUUUGGAUACACUCUAAGAUUUGGAACAAUCUUCACCAUGACCAGGAAAUCAUUUAUAUUGCAGUAUCCCCUACUGUGCCUAAAAAUGUGAUGUGUUCACUUUGUCUUACAAUUGAUUUCUAAUGACUUCAAACUUAUAUAUCUUCUUUGUGUCUUAAAGUAAAUUUCAAAUAAUGGAAUGUCAAGCAUCAGAAUAGAGGGGUAGAGAUGUACAAGUAUUGCAGUUAUGUCCUUGAUACUGAUUUAAGUAAGCACUACCUACCUCUAUUCUAACAUUGUUGUAGAUUAUGAACCCUGGUAAAUUUUAUAGCUGCCACCUUUGUCUGCCUGAUCCUAUACGCUUAAAUCUGUCCAGUCCACCUAUGUAUGAAGUGGGAGGAAGAAAAC
rnacentral:lncRNA from 10 species